AUUGAACGCUGGCGGCAUGCCUUACACAUGCAAGUCGAACGGCAGCACGGGUGCUUGCACCUGGUGGCGAGUGGCGAACGGGUGAGUAAUACAUCGGAACGUACCUUAUCGUGGGGGAUAACGCAGCGAAAGCUGUGCUAAUACCGCAUACGCCCUGAGGGGGAAAGCGGGGGAUCGCAAGACCUCGCGCGAUUAGAGCGGCCGAUGCCUGAUUAGCUUGUUGGUGGGGGAAAAGCCCACCAAGGCGACGAUCAGUAGCUGGUCUGAGAGGACGAUCAGCCACACUGGGACUGAGACACGACCCAGACUCCUACGGGAGGCAGCAGUGGGGAAUUUUGGACAAUGGGGGCAACCCUGAUCCAGCAAUGCCGCGUGAGUGAAGAAGGCCUUCGGGUUGUAAAGCUCUUUUGUCAGGGAAGAAACACCGGCUCUAACACAGUCCGGGAAUGACGGUACCUGAAGAAUAAGCACCGGCUAACUACGUGCCAGCCGCCGCGGUAA
rnacentral:rRNA from 1 species